rnacentral:rRNA from 1 species
UGGGGAAUAUUGCACAAUGGGCGCAAGCCUGAUGCAGCGACGCCGCGUGCGGGAUGACGGCCUUCGGGUUGUAAACCGCUUUUGAUCGGGAGCAAGCCUUCGGGUGAGUGUACCUUUCGAAUAAGCACCGGCUAACUACGUGCCAGCAGCCGCGGUAAUACGUAGGGUGCAAGCGUUAUCCGGGAUUAUUGGGCGUAAAGGGCUCGUAGGCGGUUCGUCGCGUCCGGUGUGAAAGUCCGUCGCUGAACGUGGGAUCUGCGCCGGGGACGGGCGGGCUGGAGUGCGGUAGGGGAGACUGGAAUUCCCGGUGUAACGGUGGAAUGUGUAGAUAUCGGGAAGAACACCAAUGGCGAAGGCAGGUCUCUGGGCCGUUACUGACGAUGAGGAGCGAAAGCGUGGGGAGCGAACA